rnacentral:sRNA from 1 species
AUUUGAGUUUAAACUA